UGAUGAUGAAAAAUGGAAGGAUGAAGGGGAUGAGCGAUGGUUGUGAUUUUGUGGUUUAGGGCUUGGAUGAUGGAGACUAGAAGGCUCAUCUCCACCUCAUUGCCUGCGGUUUAGGGCAUGUUUAUGUGGUAGGUAAUGAUUGAUUAGUUUGUGAUAAAUACUCAUCAUUUACUCUUGGAGUCUCUCUUACGUUAAUUGAGCUGAACAACAUUCCUAACUGUUUACGCAUUGGACCGUAGAUGGCUACCAAAAGACAGGUUGUUUCAAUUUGUUGACCCCAGGUUUCAUACAAGUCAGCACUGAAGCACCCCUUGGCCCUUGGGACCCUUUUACAACCAAUUUCUACUCUUGGAGACCCCUAUUUGUAACGGUACAGUUGAUUCAAAAGUGCGGAAAAGGGUAACGGUCAGCCAGUCUCAAUUCAAUUCAUCCUCUGUUUUUACUUCUAGAGGAAUACAGUCCUUCACAAGUAAAGCUUAGAACCCAGUGGCAGCCCAGUUGGCAUUUGGCAAGGGAGACAGCUUCGAGAAAGUGAAGGGCCUUGACUAUUCAAUUCGACUUGCUUCACGGGUUUAUCUAUGUUGGUGGGUCACUGGGGUCUAAUGGAAAAUGUGGGGUGUUUGCCAGCAAAGUCUUCCUCGUCUGCAGUUCGUUCAUGGUCCCUUCGGGAAGACACUAGGAGAUGGAGAUCAGGUAAAUGCUCCUUUCUCUAACACCUUGGGAGCUUGGACUUGGACUAUGGGUAAUCCGUACGUUAGAGCUCAAUGGGUUCUCAGCACCAGAAAGGAGGAGGGCUGACAGAUUCCAAAAGAAUCAAGGAGAGACUUGUUUGGGCAUAUAUUCCUUAUCAGACAGGAGCUAAAGUAAUAGUGCUACUCAUCCCCGUCCCGUGAGUCCAUUAUCCCUUCUACUGUCUUAUACUCUUUAAUUCUUUAUACCUCUGACACUGGAAAACCAAAUUGCCUGUGUGAGAAUAUGAAGAUUUCCGAGCAAUCUUCAGGCUUUUGGAUAUGAGAUCGCAUGACCCUUACGGACACCCAUGGCCCCAUGGUCCUGCCCGCUCCUGCCGUGCCCACUGCCACCCUCCAAUGUCCAAUCCAAUGGUUACCUGCAGUCCUUCAUUUUUCCAUCAAUCCCUUGCGUGGGUAGUUAAUGGUGUCACAAGUGUAUGUGACGUUUUAGGAAUUCACGUACAGGUCGAUCUGAACUGUCCAUUUUUAUGGUUUUUCUUAUCUAAAUAGUUUUUUUCUAAAACCAUCAAUCCCUUGCAUGGGUAGUUAAUGGUGUCUCAAUUGUAUGUGACGUUUAGGAAUUCACGUA